UACAGAGGGUGCGAGCGUUGUCCGGAAUCACUGGGCGUAAAGGGCGCGUAGGUGGCGACCCAAGUCGAUGGUGAAAGCUCGCCGCUCAACGGCGAGUCGGCCACCGAUACUGGGUUGCUGGAGCACUGUAGAGGCUCAUGGAAUUCCGGGUGUAGCGGUGGAAUGGCGUAGAGAGUCCGGAAGAACACCGGUGGCGAAGGCGGUGAGCUGGGCAG
rnacentral:rRNA from 1 species